GCUAUGUUUUGACGACAGCUUGUAUAGUAGGCGUGAUUAGAGGCUAACCAUGUUUACUUCCGUGUCUGCCAGCUGAUCGAUAGUUCCUUCCAUAUGACAGUCGCCUUGGCAGAGGAGCUAUCCGAGCUCCAAGAGGUCAAGAAGACUGUUGAAUCCUGGCAUUUCUUUAAGACUUCCACGGGUAAUGUAAGCAGCGAAACACUGCAAGGAGCCCUGGUUUUUUCUUAUAGGCUCCAGACAAUAUUAGUAAGAAAAAAAUUCAUAUAUGUUUAUUUUUAGAAUUUUG
rnacentral:misc_RNA from 1 species